AUGGAUCAGUUGGCUCAAUUGUGGAGAGCUCUGACGCUUUCUAAUGGAGAAGGCCUUACAACAGGUUUGCCGGUCCGAGUGCCAAUGACACCUAUUGUUGCUUCAACUUCUGCUCUGGAGACUCGAAUGCCUAAUGUUGUAGUUGUCCCGAAUGUAUUUGAGACUACUACCCUGGUCAUGGUUCACGAGGUGGGUCAGUCGACUACCACGACGACCGGUUUCUUAGAUCGAGAACUUUCACCUUCUCCUUCUCCUGCCAAGAGGGUUUAG